AACAACUAAUAAAAUAUUUUUUUAAAAAAAGAGAAAAGAUAUUUCUAAUGCACUAAAUUAACAUUUGGAAGUAAACUGGCAGCAUGACUAACUUGGCCAAGCUGUUGGUCACCUUCAGACAAGU
rnacentral:snoRNA from 1 species